UAUAUUGUUUAAUAAGUAGGCAGUAGUAAUGGGCGAUAGAAAUAUAUGCAAUAUAGAGGAUACAAAAUUGACC